rnacentral:tRNA from 1 species
GGCAACGGCCCGGAGAGCACGACGGGUUGGAUACAGGUCUGACGCUGACCAGUGCGCGGGUUCGAGUCCCGCCGUUGCCACCA